AUCUAAGUAAGCAGAUAGUUUUUUGCAUCACACAGAAUAAAGACCCUUGUAUUUGGCACCUUUGAGAUUCUUGACAAGAGGUUCACAUAUAAACCAAGAUGAGUAGAUUCCAGGAUGACUGCCUAUUUUAAUGACAUAAAAUUUGAACUUCUGAGCUGGGCGUGAGGAAUAAGUAGAUGUUACCGUUCAGGUAGAGUUGUCCGCGUUGGAGGUAGUGGAGUUGUGCUUCUGCCCUUGCAAGGAGGCGAUCAAUAAGAAGCUUGAGUAGAGAUAGUAGUGUCCAGAUGAGAGUUAAUACUAACUCUUGCAGCAUAUAAUUGUUGCAAUUAGGGACAUCCAUUACAAGAGAAGAGGAUACAGAGCGGGGGAGAAGAGAAUGGUUAGAGUUUUCUAACUAGGCUUUUGAUAUCCACUAGGUUAAGCUCGUUCUUGAAGUUUUCAAACAGGGAUCGUCCCAGGGGUUUCGUAAAGAUGUUCACCAACUAUUACAGAGGGGGAAUAUAUUCCAGUUCAACGUCCCCACUUCCAAUUUUUUCGCGAGUAAAGUGGUAAUGAGUGGCUAUGUGGCGAGUGCGAGGAUUCACCCCCGGAUUAACAACCACAGCAAUACUGCCAAAAUUGUCACAAUGGAAGCAAGUCGGUUUGUGUAUUGCAAACUGAAAAUCUUGAAAUAGCGUAAGCAGCCGUGCUACGAUUUUGGGAGGGAUCGGAUCAUUUCCCAUGCGACAGCGGGGCAAAUGUCUCCUCUACAUCCACUCCUUUCUGCUGUUUGAAACCACGGACAACUAGUCUAGAUUUAAAUCUUUGAAAAUUACCUUCUGGAUCAAUUUUUGCUGUAAACACCCAUCGGGUGGAGAUCGCACUUCUCCCAGGAGGGAAUUUUGUUAAGUACCACACAUCAUUCUUGAUAAUAGAGUUGUAUUUGUCGAAGAUUGAAUUCUUCCAGUUCGGACACUUCCAGGCCUUGCUGGAGUCUGCAGGUUCGAGGGUGGAAGUGGUGACAGCCGCGGCAUAGUGGUCGCUCAGCCAUUUUGGGGGUUGUGUCAUCCGCCCUGAUCUGGUGGUAAUUUUGCCUAUCUCGGGUCUGUAGCGGGGUUUAGGUGUGUGAGGCUUGAGUGUUUUCCAGAAAACAGUUGUUCAGGUUAAGCGUUGGAUUCAUUUACUCUAGUAGGUGUUAUAUUUAAUAGGUAGAUUGCAGUCUCAGCAGCCUCGGGCCACAAGAAAUUUGGCACAUGACCAGAUAACAACAUAAUUAUUCUGUCUAAGAGGGUUCUAUUUUAUCGCUCUACCAUCCCAUUUUGAUGGGGGUAUGAUCUUGUGUCAAUUGACAGAUUAUCCCAUGCGAUUUGCAAUAUUUGGAGAAGGUAGUGGAGAGAAAUUCUCCACCUCUGUUUGACCGUAGGAUCUUCACAUACAAUCCAGUUUGCUUCUCUAUCAUCAUCCUAAAUUCACAAAAAAAAUUCAAACGCUUUCGUGUUUUAUGAAGUAAAUAUACACUUUUCUGUUGUAAUCAUCAACAAAUAACAGGAAGUACAUGUUUCCUGCAGCUGAAGGAAGAGGCAGUGGGCCACAAAUAUCUACAUGACCUAGUUCUAGCAGUUGUUUCAAUCCGUUUGUGGCUUUCUGUGGUGUAGGCUCCCUAGCUUGUUUCUCUUUGAAACAAUGUUGACAAAUAAUGGGUUCUACGGUGAAGGUUGGUAUACCAUAGACAUUUCCUUCAGAGGCUAUCUUGUGUAAGGUAGUGAAUCCAACAUGCCCAAGUCGGCAGUGCCAUAAGUAGGAAAGAUUAUAUGAGUAUUUACUGUUGUGAUGACUGGGGUGGUCUAAGUUAUCUAGUAAAGCAAGGGAUGUGAGAUUGGUUCUACUUUGGGGUCGUAAGACUACUCCGUCGUGAGUAAGCUUGUAAAGCUGAGAUUUAUUAUCCCAAUAUCCUACUGUAAUAAUUUUUGAA